rnacentral:sRNA from 1 species
GCGAGACACGUUGUCCGCCGGCCGGAGCCGACCGAUAAACUGCUCCCUGGACCGUGCCGGGCGCAGCUCCCGGACCGUCCGGCCAAUGAUCAGCCAGCAGCCGCUGCAACCCCAGGGAG